rnacentral:rRNA from 1 species
CGAACGAGAAAGCCGCAAGGCAAGUAAAGUGGCGUACGGGUGAGUAACACGUGGAUGAUCUGCCUUUUAGUGGGGAAUACCGCUGGGAAACCGGUGACAAUACCGCAUAAGCUCGGAAGAGGAAAGACGCAAGUCGCUGAAAGAGGAGUCCGCGGCUGAUUAGCUAGAUGGCGGGGUAACGGCCCACCAUGGCGAAGAUCGGUAGCCGGCCUGAGAGGGCACACGGCCACACUGGCACUGAAACACGGGCCAGACUCCUACGGGAGGCAGCAGUGGGGAAUCUUGCACAAUGGGGGAAACCCUGAUGCAGCGACGCCGCGUGAGCGAUGAAGCCCUUCGGGGUGUAAAGCUCUUUCGACGGGAACGAUAAUGACGGUACCCGAAGAAGAAGCUGCGGCUAACUACGUGCCAGCAGCCGCGGUAAUACGUAGGCAGCAAGCGUUGUUCGGAAUUACUGGGCGUAAAGAGUGUGUAGGCGGUGUUCUAAGUCUGUUGUGAAAUCUCCCGGCUCAACUGGGAGGGUGCGGCGGAGACUGGAAUGCUAGAGUAUGGGAGAGGUAAGCGGAAUUCCUGGUGUAGCGGUGAAAUGCGUAGAUAUCAGGAGGAACACCUGUGGUGUAGACAGCUUACUGGACCAUGACUGACGCUGAGACACGAAAGCGUGGGUAGCAAACAGGAUUAGAUACCCUGGUAGUCCACGCCCUAAACGAUGCAUACUUGGUGUGAGCCAUUCAUUUGGUUCGUGCCGGAGCUAACGCGUUAAGUAUG